CCUCAGUAACGGCGAGUGAAGCGGCAACAGCUCAAAUUUGAAAUCUGGCCUCUGGCCCGAGUUGUAAUUUGCAGAGGAUGUUUCUGGCGAGGUGCCUUCCGAGUUCCCUGGAACGGGACGCCAUAGAGGGUGAGAGCCCCGUACGGUUGGUCGCUAAGCCUCUGUGAAACUCCUUCGACGAGUCGAGUAGUUUGGGAAUGCUGCUCUAAAUGGGAGGUGUACGCCUUCUUAAGCUAAAUACCGGCUAGAGACCGAUAGCGCACAAGUAGAGUGAUCGAAAGAUGAAAAGCACUUUGAAAAGAGGGUUAAAAAGUACGUGAAAUUGUUGAAAGGGAAGCGCUCUUGACCAGACUUGCGCCGGUUGAUCAUCCGCCGUUCUCGGUGGUGCACUCUGCCGGCUCAGGCCAGCAUCAGUUCGGUCCGGGGGAUAAAGGCUUCGGGAAUGUGGCUCUCUCCGGGGAGUGUUAUAGCCCGUUGCGUAAUACCCUGGGCUGGACUGAGGUUCGCGCAUCUGCAUGGAUGCUGGCGUAAUGGUUAUCAGUGACCCGUCUUGAAACACGGA
rnacentral:rRNA from 1 species